GACGAACGCUGGCGGCGUGCUUAACACCUGCAAGUCGAACGAGUGGCGAACGGGUGAGUAAUGUAUGGGGAUCUGACUGAUGGCGGGGGAUAACUACUGGAAACGGUAGCUAAUACCGCAUACCAUCAGAUGAACCCAUAGUGGAUUAGCUAGUAGGUGAGGUACCGGCUUACCUAGGCGACGAUCCCGAGCUGGUCUGAGAGGAUGAUCAGCCACACUGGGACUGGGACACGGCCCAGACUCCUACGGGAGGCAUCAGUGGGGAAUAUUGCACAAUGGGCUCAAGCCUGAUGCAGCCAUGCAGCGUGUAUGAAGAAGGCCUUCGGGUUGUAAAGUACUUUCAGUCGGGAGGCGUUACCGACAGAAGAAGCACCGGCUAACUCCGUGCCAGCAGCCGCGGUAAUAC
rnacentral:rRNA from 1 species